GGGUAGGUAGCGAAGCGGUCAAACGCAACAGACUGUAAAUCUGUCGACCUCGGUCUUCGGAGGUUCGAAUCCUCCCCUGCCCA
rnacentral:tRNA from 1 species